GAAUCCCGUCCUUGACAUGGACUCCCAGCGCUUUGUGUUGAGCUCUCAACGAGUCGAGUUGUUUGGGAAUGCAGCUCAAAAUGGGUGGUAAAUUCCAUCUAAAGCUAAAUAUUGGCGAGAGACCGAUAGCGAACAAGUACCGUGAGGGAAAGAUGAAAAGCACUUUGGAAAGAGAGUGAAACAGUACGUGAAAUUGUUGAAAGGGAAACGCUUGAAGUCAGUCGCGUCGACCGAGACUCAGCCUCGCCUUGGCUUGGUGUACUUCUCGGCACGACGGGUCAGCAUCAAUUUUGCCCCUCGGAUAAUGGCAGGGGAAAGGUGGCACCUUUACGGGUGUGUUAUAGUCUUCUGUCGCAUGCGAGGGGUGGGAUUGAGGAACUCAGCGCGCACCUCAGUGUCGGGGCUUCGGCCCACGUCACGCGCUUAGGAUGCUGGCGUAAUGGCUUUAAACGACCCGUCUUGAAACACGGACCAAGGAGUCCAACACGCCCGCGAGUGUUCGGGUGGAAAACCCGUGCGCGUAAUGAAAGUGAAAGUUGGGACCUCUGUCGUGGAGGGCACCGACGCCCGGACCAGACCUUCUGUGACGGAUCUGCGGUAGAGCGUGUGUGUUGGGACCCGAAAGAUGGUGAACUAUGCCUGAAUAGGGUGAAGCCAGAGGAAACUCUGGUGGAGGCUCGUAGCGAUUCUGACGUGCAAAUCGAUCGUCAAAUUUGGGUAUAGGGGCGAAAGACUAAUCGAACCAUCUAGUAGCUGGUUCCUGCC
rnacentral:rRNA from 1 species